UACGUAGGUCGCAAGCGUUGUCCGGAUUUACUGGGCGUAAAGAGCGCGCAGGCGGCUGGCCAAGUCCGAUGUGAAAGCUUCCGGCUUAACCGGGAAAUUGCAUCGGAAACUGGUCGGCUUGAAGGUGGAAGAGGGUAGCGGAAUUCCCGGUGUAGUGGUGAAAUGCGUAGAUAUCGGGAGGAACACCAGUGGCGAAGGCGGCUACCUGGCCCAUUCUUGACGCUGAGGCGCGAAAGCUAGGGGAGCGAACGGG
rnacentral:rRNA from 1 species